rnacentral:ncRNA from 1 species
UUCUUCGGGGCAGGGUGUAAUUCCCUACCGGCGGUGACAGUCCGCGACCCGUGUAUACGGCUGAACCGGUGAAAUUCCGGUACCGACAGUAUAGUCUGGAUGAGAGAAGAA